AGUGAACGCUGGCGGUAGGCCUAACACAUGCCAGUCGAACGGCAGCACAGUAAGAGCUUGCUCUUACGGGUGGCGAGUGGCGGACGGGUGAGGAAUACAUCGGAAUCUACUUUUUCGUGGGGGAUAACGUAGGGAAACUUACGCUAAUACCGCAUACGACCUACGGGUGAAAGCAGGGGAUCUUCGGACCUUGCGCGAUUGAAUGAGCCGAUGUCGGAUUAGCUGGUUGGCGGGGUAAAGGCCCACCAAGGCGACGAUCCGUAGCUGGUCUGAGAGGAUGAUCAGCCACACUGGAACUGAGACACGGUCCAGACUCCUGCGGGAGGCAGCAGUGGGGAAUAUUGGACAAUGGGGGCAAGCCUGAUCCAGCCAUACCGCGUGGGUGAAGAAGGCCUUCGGGUUGUAAAGCCCUUUUGUUGGGAAAGAAAAGCAGCAGGCUAAUACCCCGCUGUUCUGACGGUACCCAAAGAAUAAGCACCGGCUAACUUCGUG
rnacentral:rRNA from 1 species